UGAAAGUUAUUUGAAAAUCGCCAGUGUAGUUUUUGAGAAACUGAAUUUCAGCCUCUCCAAAGGCUAAAAUGCGAUCUUAAAGGUUGAAAUUCAGUUUCUCGAAAACUACACUGGCGAUUUUCAAAUAACUU